rnacentral:rRNA from 1 species
CCCGCUGAACUUAAGCAUAUCAAUANAGCGGAGGAAAAGAAACCAACAGGGAUUGCCUCAGUAACUGCGAGUGAAGCGGCAACAGCUCAAAUUUGAAAUCUGGCUCUCUCAUGGUCCUAGUUGUUGUUUGUAGAAGAUGCUUUGUCGUGUGGCUCCGGUCUAAGUUCCUUGGAGCAGGACGUCAUAGAGGGUGAGAAUCCCGUACGCGACUGGGUGCCUUCGCUCGUGUAAUGCUCUCUCGACGAGUCGAGUUGUUUGGGAAUGCAUGCUCAUAAUGAGUGGUAAAUUUCAUCUAACGCUAAAUAUUGUCCAGAGACCGAUAGCGCACAAGUAGAGUGAUCGAUAGACGAAAAGCGCUAUGGAAAGAGAGUUAAACAGUGCGUGAAAUUGUUGAAAGGGAAGCUCUUGCAACCAGACUUGCGCGCUGUUGAUCAUUCGAGCUUUCACUCUGAGCACUCGGCAGCGCUCAGACCAGCAUCGGUUUUGGUGAGCGGAUAAAGGCCUUGGGAAUGUAGCUCUCUUCGCGGAGUGUUAUAGCCCUCGGUGCAAUGCGCCCUACCGGGUCCGAGGACCGCGCUUCGGCUAGGAUGCUGGCGUAAUGGUUGUAAGCGACCCGUCUUGAAACACGG